rnacentral:rRNA from 1 species
UACGUAGGGGGCUAGCGUUGUUCGGAUUUACUGGGCGUAAAGCGCACGUAGGCGGAUCGUUAAGUGAGGGGUGAAAUCCCAGGGCUCAACCCUGGAACUGCCUUUCAUACUGGCGAUCUUGAGUCCGGAAGAGGUGAGUGGAACUCCUAGUGUAGAGGUGGAAUUCGUAGAUAUUAGGAAGAACACCAGUGGCGAAGGCGGCUCACUGGUCCGGUACUGACGCUGAGGUGCGAAAGCGUGGGGGAGCAAACAGGGAUUAAGAA